UGCUUCAUGGACAACUGGCUCUGCUCAGACAUGGACAACAUGUGCUGCUUCAGGCCAGCUUAGCCCUGAUGUUUUGGGCUUGAACUACAUGGAAAUUUAAGUGCUUCAAGUUUACCCGAAGAGACAUGGCCUAGCGGGACCCUGAGGAGCAUCUUGGGGAAGGGUGAAGAGAAAGCAUGCAGUUUCCACUUACAGACCACAUCACCCUGAUUCCUGCUGGGAGGAGCCUCUGCCGCAAGCCGCCGCCUUUCCCGAGAGCAGGCCGAGCAGUUCAGCGCUGCCGCGAAGGAGCCAGGGACCAUCACCAGCGGAGGACUGAAGGAGUGACCUACUAACUGAUGUGAAAGCCAUGCAAGGGGAUGGAGAACAACAUACAAGACCCCAAAGCUUUUAGAAGAAACGACUUCUUUGACACCACCCCUGAGCGAGAUGCACAGAAGUACCAAAGCAGAAAGCUAUUCUGGGAUGAACACACAGAUCCACCUAGCUACUCAUCUUUGCAGGUGCAAGACUCUACACUUGCCCUUUUCUCAAGCUCCUCCUGAAGAAAAAGCUGAGAUGUGAUUGAACAAGAAGCAUGUAAAUGGAAAAUGGACAGAACAUGAAAUGCUUCUCCUGGCAUUUUAUUCAUUCUUCAGCCAUUACCCUUCACUAAUGUACAAACCAGUGAAAGGAUGGGUACAAAUAUGUUCCAAGUCAGACAAAGUAAAAUUGAUGGAGACUACAGAUGCCAAAGCAAAUGAGAUCUCUGAAGGCUUGGAAAGAAAUUCACUGACAUAUCCACUCAAUAUUCAUUGAAAUGAGCUCAGAGAACUUUGCUCAAUUAAAGCCUGGCUGCAGGGCAAAGCAGAUCUAAGCUGAACUCAGAAGCAGUUUUUGGACCCAUAAGAUCGAGGUCAAAAGAGACAUAAUUGGCCAAGGAUUGCAGUAUAUUAUAAUGACAACUAGAACAGGUGUUUUGGAGCACUCUAGCUUAAUGAUGCCUAUCUCUCAUAGUUACACCAGUACUUACACUUCUACAGACAGCUUAGCAGCAUAGCUACACCUAUAA